GGAUGAAUAGCUCAAUGGUAAGAGCGCUCCCCUGUUAAGGGAGGGGUUGAAAGUUCGAGUCUUUCUUCAUCCGCAA
rnacentral:tRNA from 1 species